AGUGAACGCUGGCGGUAGGCCUAACACAUGCCAGUCGAACGGAAGCACAGUAAGAGCUUGCUCUUACGGGUGGCGAGUGGCGGACGGGAGAGGAAUACAUCGGAAUCUACUUUUUCGUGGGGGAUAACGUAGGGAAACUUACGCUAAUACCGCAUACGACCUACGGGGGAAAGCAGGGGAUCUUCGGACCUUGCGCGAUUGAAUGAGCCGAUGUCGGAUUAGCUAGUUGGCGGGGUAAAGGCCCAGCAAGGCGACGAUCCGUAGCUGGUCUGGGAGGCUGGUCAGCCACACUGGAACUGAGACACGGUCCAGGCUCCUAAGGGACGCAGCAGUCGGGAAUAUUGGACAAUGGGCGCAAGCAUGAUCCAGCCAUACCGCGUGGGAGAAGAAGGCCUUCGGGUUGUAAAGCCCUUCUGUUGGGAAAGAAAAGCAGCAGGUCAAUACCCCGCUGUUCUGACGGUACCCAAAGAAUAAGCACCGGCUAACUUCGUG
rnacentral:rRNA from 1 species